rnacentral:lncRNA from 1 species
AGAGAGAGAGAACAGUCGUUUGCCUUUCUUCCAAACACCAGACACAGCCGGCGAUUUAUUCUCCCUUUUUUUUCUUUUUUUUUAUACGGAAAUUAAAUACCCCCUUCUUAUUUUUCCAAGUGGUGCUUAGUGUGCUGUUCUACCCUUUCACUCUCGGCGCGUGCCUUUCUGCGCCUGGGCCGUGUUCCCCGAAUUCACCAAAUCUGUCAUACAAAAUUAUUUUCCUUUUUCUUUUCUUCUUUCAUAUUUGUUUCCUUUAUUUUCUGAUAUCCGAACCAAGAAAAAAUUAAUCUUGCCUUCCUUGUCUUUAAAAAAAAUCUUGAUUUUUGAUUUAGCGAGUCAAUUUUGACAAAGACCCAAUGACAUAAUUGAUACACGGUAACUAAUUAGAAGAAAAGAGUUAUGGAAAUUCAUGUAUGCAUACAAUCUUAACCGUUUAUAACAAUUCAUAUGUUUGACCACAAUGUUUUUAUAUUAUUUCUUCUAUUCCUGACCAUCCACAUAUAUAUAUAUGUGAAGAUACACGUCAUGUAUUGAAGAUGCUCUCAGUUAUGAAAUUCAUGUAUACACGACGUGUAUUUACACGACACAAUACAAGUCAAUUAAAUAAGACAAAAUUGAUACAAGGUAAAUCAUGUUUCCAAUCAAGAUAUUCACUUAACACACUUAACCUAAUAUAUCAAAUGAUUUCACGGUAUUCUUUCAUUUUUGGUGUAGUCCUACACAAAAACCUUUUUAUGUGAGAUGAUACGUUGUGCAUUUUGUAGAGCUUAAAAUGUGUUAUACAAGCAUUUUACAUAAACACAAAAUCUCACGGCUGCUGUUAACAAAGUGAGUACAUUUUAUUGUUUUAACAAUUUAAAAAUUCAAAAUAAAUUAAGUCAUGUUCUAGGAUAUUCUCUAUGUGUGCCUUGGCCUUAUGCUAAUAGGAUAUGUAGUUAGACUAGAUCUAUGUAUUCAUAUCCUUACCAUAUUGGUAUUGUGUAAUUCCCUAUAU